AAACUAAUUUAAUUUGGCGGCAUUUUAUCUAUUUAGAGGAAUUUGUCUUUUAAUCGACAAUCCACGUUAAAUUUUACUUUAAUCAAAAACUUAUAUACCGCCAUCUAAAGAAUUAAUUAAAAAAUAUUUCUCUAAAUAAAUUAUAAAAAGUUAGGUCAAGGUGUAAUUUAUAUUAAAGNAUAAGAUGAAUUACAUUAAAAAUUAUUUAAAGACUACUAAUAUAUAUAUAAAUAUAAAUAAGAAUUUAAAAGUAAUAUAUACAUAAUAAUAAUAUAUGAUAAAGAUAAUAAAUGUGUACACAUCGCCC
rnacentral:rRNA from 1 species